rnacentral:lncRNA from 1 species
AUAAAUGUCAGGCAAAUCUGUCUCUGCUCAAUAAUCUCAUUUAUCAUGUCAUCAUCAGAUCAAAAUCUACAAACAUGUAUUAAAAAAAAAAUAUAAAGUAUAUGAAUAAUGAUUCAGCUGUUUGGGUUUUAAAGGUCUCAUCGCAGGAUGGAUAAACCUCUCUAACUUCAAUCUAUCGUCAUCGUAUCUUUAGGCUGGUAAGGUUUACGUGAAAACCAACCCUUUCGGCUUCGAGGCGGCGGCGCGGUCCAAAAUCCGACAUCUCUACAUCGAGCAUUUGCGUGUUCUUCACUGUUGGUUCCAAGUCCGACCACAGCGAGGCAGCUCCCGACCGGCAGCGCGUAACGAGGCUCUUCUGGUCCACACGACAGCAGCAAGCCACUCGUUCUCAAAGUGGAAGGUAGAUUACCUGACGACGGAGCAACAGGAGGAAGCAGAGUGGAGCAUGGAAACAGCACAUCCCUUCCGCCAUCACCUCCCAUGUGACCCACUUGCCGCUGCACUCGUUCUUCCAGCCUCUGGUUUUUGGAGGGGUUGACGCAGAUGCUGCAAAGGGAUGUUCCCAUAGUUUUCCGAGGACAAGCAGCUGGUCCUCGGACUCCCACCCUGCAUGAUGGAGUCCGUGACAGUGAAUGCGCUGAGCCUUGACGACACGCAAAUCAUUCAAGCCAUCUGACCCACCCAUGGCACUCUGUGAGUCGUUCUUUUCUCCUCCUUUUCCUAGCUUUUGGUCUAUUGUAUCAAAUCAUGCUGCUUCUGGCCUCACAUUUACAAGGACCACUUUAUUAUCUCGAGUAGAACACAUACUGCGUAUCACACGCAAGUUCAUCCACCUCAUUAGUGUCAGGGUGAUGACCCCAUCCCCACACUGUUCGAAGAAGAGAAAUCUAGAGAGAGGACUGAAGGAAGAACCACUCAGGUGUAUCAUAUAUAUGGUACGAUUCCUUAGUAGAAGAAAAAGAAAUGAGAGCUAAUCCUAUUGGCUCCAAGAGAUGAUACUGAUCUGACUCAUGGAAAUUUUGGGGUUUAUUCCCCAUCACUUUCAUGUCUUUACUUCGAUAACUCGAACGGAUAUUCUACAGGACAUAGCUCGCUUUCGCAUAUAGAAUGGAUGAAAGCUUCUCAGUUUUGUCCCCCAGACAUGUGAGCUUACUUGCACGCCUAGCUUUGGUUGCCCGUCACUUUCCUGCUCGUUUGGUAGCUGUAAAGCCACCUGGGGCUGACAGAAUUGAUGUCCUACCGUAUGAUUUCUUUACGGCCAAUGAUCUUUUCUUUGGAGCAUAUAAAGCCGAUGACGUGUGUAAUGCUGAUCUUGUUCUUUACAUCCGAAGAAGAAGAAGAAGAAGGGAAAACGGCUGUUGUCUAUAACUUUCUUUUCUCAGGUCGGUGAGGAUGUUGUGAGCUUGAGGAACAUUCCAAAUUCUUGGGACCAUAGACAAUGCAUCUGCACGCUUCAGUCUGAUGCCCGAAUGAUCAAGUAGUGAUUAACAUGAAUUCUGUGUUUGGCAAACCUUUACUACUUGAUCCUAUUUUAAGCUACAAUAUUAAUAACAAUAGGUCCUGCUUCUUGUUGAGAUCCACAUUGCUUCUUGUUGUUGUGCCUUAUGCUUCAUGUUAGAUUCUGCAGACUGCGGUUUGUGUCCUGGAAGUCGUGUAAAAGGAGUGCUUUUGAUCACUGUUGAACCUCCGGGUUUAUUCUGAUGGAAUUAGUCUUCCUGCAGGAGUGAGGUGGAGAGGUUGUCGAGUCUUGCA